rnacentral:rRNA from 1 species
UACGGAGGGUGCAAGCGUUAUCCGGAUUCACUGGGUUUAAAGGGUGCGUAGGUGGGUCUGUAAGUCAGUGGUGAAAUCUCCGUGCUUAACAUGGAAACUGCCAUUGAUACUAUAGGUCUUUGAAUUUUCUGGAGGAUAGCGGAAUAUGUCAUGUAGCGGUGAAAUGCUUAGAUAUGACAUAGAACACCAAUUGCGAAGGCAGCUAUCUACAGGGAUAUUGACACUGAGGCACGAAAGCGUGGGGAUCAAACAGG